rnacentral:rRNA from 1 species
CCUACGGGUGGCAGCAGUGAGGAAUAUUGGUCAAUGGACGAGAGUCUGAACCAGCCAAGUAGCGUGAAGGAUGACUGCCCUAUGGGUUGUAAACUUCUUUUAUAUGGGAAUAAAAUGUUCCACGUGUGGGAUUUUGUAUGUACCAUAUGAAUAAGGAUCGGCUAACUCCGUGCCAGCAGCCGCGGUAAUACGGAGGGUCCGAGCGUUAUCCGGAUUUAUUGGGUUUAAAGGGAGCGUAGGUGGAUUGUUAAGUCAGUUGUGAAAGUUUGCGGCUUAACCGUAAAAUUGCAGUUGAAACUGGCAGUCUUGAGUACAGUAGAGGUGGGCGGAAUUCGUGGUGUAGCGGUGAAAUGCGUAGAUAUCACGAAGAACUCCGAUGGCGAAGGCAGUUCACUGGACUGCAACUGACACUGAGGCUCGAAAGUGUGGGUAUCAAACAGGAUUAGAUACCCCUGUAGUC